UACGUAGGGUGCAAGCGUUAAUCGGAAUUACUGGGCGUAAAGCGUGCGCCGGCGGUUUUGUAAGUCUGACGUGAAAUCCCCGGGCUCAACCUGGGAAUUGCGUUGGAGACUGCAAGGCUAGAAUCUGGCAGAGGGGGGUAGAAUUCCACGUGUAGCAGUGAAAUGCGUAGAGAUGUGGAGGAACACCGAUGGCGAAGGCAGCCCCCUGGGUCAAGAUUGACGCUCAUGCACGAAAGCGUGGGGAGCAAACAGG
rnacentral:rRNA from 1 species